rnacentral:rRNA from 1 species
GUGUCAGCCGCCGCGGUAAGACGAACCGUGCGAACGUUGUUCGGAAUCACUGGGCAUAAAGGGCGCGUAGGCGGCUCGCGAGGUCGGGGGUGAAAUCCCACAGCUUAACUGUGGAAGUGCCUUCGAUACCGGCGAGCUCGAGGGAGGUAGGGGUGCGCGGAACUUCUGGUGGAGCGGUGAAAUGCGUUGAUAUCAGAAGGAACGCCGGCGGCGAAAGCGGCGCACUGGAUCUCUACUGACGCUGAGGCGCGAAAGCCAGGGGAGCAAACGGGAUUAGAUACCCCUGUAGUCC